rnacentral:lncRNA from 1 species
AUUCAAAAAGUGAAAAUUAAUAUUCAUCAAAUAACGCAUAAUGACUCCAAGAAAACCGUAAAUUAUUUAACCUUUAUAGUGAAGUUUCAGAAAAUAUUACUUUAUAAAUUCUAUCGACUAUCUGGACCCAAAAUAAAUGUAUUUAGUGCUAUAGAAUAAAUUAGUCUGAAAGUAUACUACACUAUUUGAUCCGAAUUUAAAUACUUUUAGACUAUUGUCAGGGAUGAACCCAUUGUUUGUUACGAUCGGUUCACUACUUUUAAGUUUUGUUUUUAUAGCGUAAUUCAGUCUGAAUCAGUGAGCCACCCAUUUAUAAUAUCAAUAUCUAUUUGAAAUGUUAUAACGUAAAAUUGUAAAACAAUUUGGUAUUACUACGAAUACUAAUUAUUAUGUUUGUCUUCAACUUAAUGAUAUAUCUAACCACCUUAAUAUUUACACCAUAUAUAUUUAUAUAAUCUAUUAAUUUAAGAUCUUAUUUUUUAUUUACCAAACAAAAAUCAACGUUAGAUCAUUAAUUAGAAAUUUAACUGAAUAUUUUAAAUUUACUCACAUAUGAUAUUUUUCUAACAAAAAAAUAAGCAAUAUAUAUCUAAACAAUAACAUUCCUAAGAAAAGCCAAAUAUAUUUCCAUUAUGCUAUUUUCUUGUUUAUCAUAUUUUUUAUAAAUUUAUAUUUUUAUAUAUAAAAAAUUAUAAAUAUAAUAAAUAAAAUUAAAAAGGGGCCAAAUUAUUUGAUAUAAAGAUAGUUUUAUUUUCAUUAUAAAAUAUUACUGAUUAAAUUUUAAAAACAUUUUAAACAUUAUCUACAUAUAAAUUUUAGAGCGUAAAAAAAAUAUUUUUCGCCCUAGGGCCCUUAACACUAUUGAGCCGGCCCUGCUAUCUAUACAGUUUUAUAACUGUUAAAACCACACCGCAGUUGAACCGCUUGUCUUGCACCGCUCAAACCACAGUUACCAUUGGGAGCCAUAGUGCUAGUAUAUCAAUAGUUAUCUGAAAAUUUGCUAUGUAGGUUGAAGUGACGGUAGUCUAAGAAAAUAUCAGAAAAAGUAUCUUCAAUUAAAUAUAUUAAGUUGCCUAGUUAUAAAUAUUGCGAAGCCAAUACUACUAAAUUUAUUACUGGUUGAUAUUUUAGAACUACUAAAUUCCUUCCUAAAUUAAAUCAUAGCCUACAUUAUUAUCGACUAAUCAGACUAUACAUACAUAGAUGAAAUGAAAUAUAUUUAGUACACUUCUAAUUCAAAAAGUGAAAAUUAAUAUUCAUCAAAUAACGCAUAAUGACUCCAAGAAAACCGUAAAUUAUUUAACCUUUAUAGUGAAGUUUCAGAAAAUAUUACUUUAUAAAUUCUAUCGACUAUCUGGACCCAAAAUAAAUGUAUUUAGUGCUAUAGAAUAAAUUAGUCUGAAAGUAUACUACACUAUUUGAUCCGAAUUUAAAUACUUUUAGACUAUUGUCAGGGAUGAACCCAUUGUUUGUUACGAUCGGUUCACUACUUUUAAGUUUUGUUUUUAUAGCGUAAUUCAGUCUGAAUCAGUGAGCCACCCAUUUAUAAUAUCAAUAUCUAUUUGAAAUGUUAUAACGUAAAAUUGUAAAACAAUUUGGUAUUACUACGAAUACUAAUUAUUAUGUUUGUCUUCAACUUAAUGAUAUAUCUAACCACCUUAAUAUUUACACCAUAUAUAUUUAUAUAAUCUAUUAAUUUAAGAUCUUAUUUUUUAUUUACCAAACAAAAAUCAACGUUAGAUCAUUAAUUAGAAAUUUAACUGAAUAUUUUAAAUUUACUCACAUAUGAUAUUUUU